UUUCUCCUAGUCAAAUUGAUGAAUGUUAGAGGUGUAAACUUGCUAAAAUGUCAGCUUUACCAUUUAAUAAAAGUAUUUAUAUUUAUGUUUUUCCUUUUUCUCUUGUGCAUUUGGGGACCAUCUCCUGUUCUCACUAAAAGGGGUUCUGCAUACUAUGUGUCUUUUGUUGAUGAUUGCACCCGCUAUACCUGGGUUUAUCUUAUGACUCAUAAAUUUGACUUCUACCAAAUAUAUCGUAACUUUUAGUCUAUGAUCACUACACAGUUUGGGUUUACCAUUAAAUUGUUAUGGUCUAACUUAGGUGGGAAGUAUUUUAAAACUGAGUUCUGUGAGUAUCUGACCAAUUUCGGUACUAUUCACCAAACUUCCUGUACCGAUACACUCGCCCAAAAUGGUCGUGCUGAGCGUAAAUACUGUCAUCUCCUUAAGACAAUUAGAUCUCUCCUUAUUUUUGCCUCUAUUCCAGCUCCCUUUUGGGGGGAAGCCGUUCUUACAACUGCUUUUCUUCUCAACCGCAUGCCUACCCCCUACUUUUUAGUCAUUCUCCUUAUGAGGCUCUGUUGUUCCAACGCCCCAAUUACUCUCUCUUUCGUGUUUUUGUGUCUACAUGUUUUGUCCUUCUUCCCCAGAAAGAUAGGAUAAAACUUAGUGUCCGGUCUGUCUUAUGUGUCAUUUUGGGGUACAGUCUUACUCAAAAAGGCUAUCGUUGUUACGAUCCAAUUUCCCACCGUCUUUAUGUCUCCUUCCAUGUUGUUUUCCUGGAAUGUCUAGCUUACUUUCAGCUUCCUCCUUUCAUUACUCCGGUUUCUUAAAAGGAUUUGGUUCACCUUGAUACAUUUCCUUCUGAGGUCCAUUCUGAUGAGUACAUCUCUACUGUCCACCAUGACUUUGUUCCUUCUUCUCUUCCUACCCCUCCUGCUGAGUCCUUCUCCACUGUCUCCCAUGAGUUUGUUCUAGCCUCUCCAUCUUCUCCCCCGACUGCUCCUUCUCCUCUUCCGUUGUCAGUCUAUUCUUGUCUCAAGGCUUUCCCUCUACCAAUUGUCUCUGCUUCUGCUACUGAUCCUUCUGCUUCUGCUGACCCUGAUCUUGCUAACCAUAAGUAUCCCUUUUGCAUCCGUAAACAAAACCUCAGGCUUACAAGGAGGCUUGUCAGGAUCAUAAUUGGAUUCGAGCAAUGGAUGAUGAGUUGUCUGCAUUGCAGAAGACUAGUACUUGAGAGCUAGUUCCUCUACCUGCUAGCAAGAAUCUGAUCGGUUACAAUUGGGUCUAUAAAGUCAAGACUCAUUAUAAUGGUUCUCUCAAGCGCUACAAAGCUCACCUGGUUGCCAAAGGUUACUCACAAAAGUAUGGUAUUGAUUACGAGGAGACUUUUGCCCUUGUUGUCAAGAUGACUACUGUCCGUACUUUGAUUUCUGUUGCUGUUGUUCGUCAUUGGCCUCUUUAUCAGAUAAAUGUUAAGAAUGUUUUUCUUAAUGGCCAUCUCACUGAGGAGGAUUACAUGCGUCCUCCUCCUGACCUUCACCAUUCCUUUGGACAAGUUUGUCGUCUUCGGCGUGCUCUGUAUGGUUUGAAGCAAUCUCUUCAUACUUGGUAUGAUCGCUUUCAGACAAUUGUUACUGAGCUUGGGUUUCAUCCUUGUACCCACGACUCUACCUUGCUUUCCCUCCACACCUUUGUUGAUUUUGUUGCCUUAUUACUGUAUGUGGAUUAUAUGAUUAUCACUGGUUCUAACUUGUCCGCUAUCUCUAAGGCCAAGUAGUAUCUCUUCUGCAUUUUCGAAAUAAAGGAUCUGUGACCAUUGCGGUAUUUUCUUGGUAUUGAGGUGGCUUCUUCUCCCAAAGGUUACUUUUUGUCUUAGGCCAAGUAUGCCAAUGAGGUUAUUCAUCUUGUCGGUCUUACUGACACUAAGAUUUCUGAUACCCCCGUUAAACUUAAUGUGAAGCUCAAUACUACUGAUGAUAUCCCUCUGGCUAAUCCGACUGUAUAUCGAGGGCUUGUGGAUUACUUAGUCUAUCUAACGGUUACUCGCCCUGAUCUGGCCUAUGCUGUUCAUGUGGUUAGCCAGUUCGUUUCUACUCCUCGCUCUAUCCAUUGGGUUAGUUUGCUUUGGAUUCUUCGUUAUCUUCGUGGUACUAUCUUCCAAGGCUUGCUGUUGUCUUCUACUUCAUCGUUAGAUUUGGUGGCCUAUGCUUAUGCUGAUGCUGAUUAGGCUGGUGAUGUUACUGAUCGUAAGUCCGCUUCUGGUUUCUAUAUGUUUCUUGGUGAUUCCUUGAUUUCUUAGAAAAGUAAGAAACAAACUGUUGUUACCUGUUCUACUGCUGAAACUGAGUACCGUGUUAUGACUCAUGUUAUUGCUGAAGUUGUCUGACUUUGUUGUCCCUCUGUCUUCCCCGACCUCUCUCUACU